rnacentral:rRNA from 1 species
GGCGGCAUGCCUUACACAUGCAAGUCGAACGGCAGCACGGGGGCAACCCUGGUGGCGAGUGGCGAACGGGUGAGUAAUACAUCGGAACGUGUCCUGUAGUGGGGGAUAGCCCGGCGAAAGCCGGAUUAAUACCGCAUACGCUCUACGGAGGAAAGGGGGGGAUCUCAGGACCUCCCGCUACAGGGGCGGCCGAUGGCAGAUUAGCUAGUUGGUGGGGUAAAGGCCUACCAAGGCGACGAUCUGUAGCUGGUCUGAGAGGACGACCAGCCACACUGGGACUGAGACACGGCCCAGACUCCUACGGGAGGCAGCAGUGGGGAAUUUUGGACAAUGGGCGAAAGCCUGAUCCAGCAAUGCCGCGUGUGUGAANAAAGCCUUCGGGUUGUAAAGCACUUUUGUCCGGAAAGAAAACCUCCGCCCUAAUAUGGUGGGGGGAUGACGGUACCGGAAGAAUAANCACCGGCUAACUACGUGCCAGCAGCCGCGGUAAUACGUANGGUGCAAGCGUUAAUCGGAAUUACUGGGCGUAAA